UUGUGUGUGUGUAAUAACCCGGUCAUGACCUGGUGUUGUGUGGGUGUAGGUGCUCAUGCUGACCCUGCAGAAUGACCCUCCCUGCUUGGAGACGGGCAUCCAGGACAAGGAGAUGGUGAAGAAGUAUGGCAAGUCCUUCAGGAAGAUGAUCUCACUCUGUCUACAGAAGGAGCCUGAGAAAAGACCGACUGCUGCUGAGCUGCUAAAGCAUAAAUUCUUCACUAAAGCAAAGAAUAAUGAAUACUUGGAAGA